rnacentral:rRNA from 1 species
AUUGAACGCUGGCGGCAGGCCUAACACAUGCAAGUCGAACGGUAACAGGAAGCAGCUUGCUGCUUUGCUGACGAGUGGCGGACGGGUGAGUAAUGUCUGGGAAACUGCCUGAUGGAGGGGGAUAACUACUGGAAACGGUAGCUAAUACCGCAUAAUGUCGCAAGACCAAAGAGGGGGACCUUCGGGCCUCUUGCCAUCGGAUGUGCCCAGAUGGGAUUAGCUAGUAGGUGGGGUAAAGGCUCACCUAGGCGACGAUCCCUAGCUGGUCUGAGAGGAUGACCAGCCACGCUGGAACUGAGACACGGUCCAGACUCCUACGGGAGGCAGCAGUGGGGAAUAUUGCACAAUGGGCGCAAGCCUGAUGCAGCCAUGCCGCGUGUAUGAAGAAGGCCUUCGGGUUGUAAAGUACUUUCAGCGGGGAGGAAGGGAGUAAAGUUAAUACCUUUGCUCAUUGACGUUACCCGCAGAAGAAGCACCGGCUAACUCCGUG